ACAAUACAAAAGAAAUUAAUUAAUCAUCAAAGGUCAUAGUUGUAACAUUUAUAUGCAUUGGAGUCGGUUCGAGUCUGGGUACAGCAACUAAAUAAACGCUUGGAUACCAAUUACAAAUGGGCUGUCAACUAAAAAUAGCAAAAACUAAAUGAGUCAGUGGCAGGGGCGACAUAUAUUUUGUUUAUUUGGUUCUUGAUGACUGAGCGGCCGUAACUGAUUAAAUUAAUUAAAAAUUCUUGUUGCACCAUAAACAGCAGCAUUUAGCCAUGUACUUAUUCUUCUUCUUAUCCUUCAUCUUCAUUAUCAUCAUCUCUAUAUUGGCUAAUGUCUUAAAUCUGUACAUAUCAAAGAUCUGGCUCGAUCUCGAUCUAUACGAAAACAAACAACUUGUGGGUAAUUUAUUAUUUUAUUUUUGCAUGAACUAAAUGUCAGCAGCAGAAGCGCUCGUACAUUUUAAAGCCAAUUUAUUUUUCUUUUGAAUUUUAAACUGUUUUCUUUUUUAUUUUUGUCGAAAUAAAAAUUCAAUUUACUUGCAGCAAAUACAUAUAAAUUGUUUUUCAUUAUAGCCACACAAAUCCAGACAACGGUGGCCAGCUAAAAAUAAUCUAAACCAGCUAAUCUACAGAAAAUUAGUUUUCAAAGCAAACAAUUUUCCAAAAAGCAGAAAAAAACCAAACAAAAAAGCAACAAUAUACAAUAAAUUGAAAAUAGAACAUAGAAAGAAGCUGGCUAAGUAUGUAUAUAGAAAAUUCUCUACUGUUGGCAGCUGUGAAAUUCAAUGUCUGCUUUUACUUUGUUAGACCUCUUUUUACCCCCCACCUAUUUUUGGUUGCGCUAGUUUUGUGCUCAUUUGGUUUCUAAAGAUACAACAGCCGGAGCAGUUGCCGCCACUGUUUCUGCUGCUGUUUGCGCUAGAUGUGUCAUCCACAAUAUUUUAUGCUAAUAUUCAGAAUUUUCAAAAAAAAAACCUCAUGAGAAAAAUUAUAAAAGUUUCAUGCUCGAGCGGAGGCGUUCUAAAUGUGCGUUUUGCGCACGGCCCCAAAAUUAGUGAACACAUGUUUCUACAUCUGUAUCUACAUAUUGCUAUAUAAAUAAAAAAAAAAUUUAGCUAAGUUAUGUACCCAAUAAUUAUUUAAUACAUAAGCUGCCUUAUUUUUAAACUUUCACUCAAGGGGCUGGCGUAUUUUUUGAGUGCUUUACUCAAUUUUCUAAAUUUUUCUAGAAUUUUCAACACGCGCUAAUGUUUUUUGCGCCACUGUGCAAGAAAUGUUUUCUAUCAUUUGCAAAAUAUUUGUAAUUAAAUUUUUUUUAUUACUUUUUUAUAAAUUAAAUUUGCUUUAUAUAUAAGUAUUUUUUUGGGAUUUUCGUUUACUUUAGUGUGUUAAACGUGUUUAAAUAAAUUGAGUUUACUUGGGUUAGUACUAAAAAAAAAUCGUUCGUUUUGCGUUGUUACUUUAAAAUAUUCUUCACUCAAACUUUCACAUAGUUCGUCAGUAAGUUAAGGAGCUGUUAAGUCGUUUAAAGUUUUAGUCAGUUUUGUUGAUUAUUUAGCUUUCCAUACAUUUCUUUUUGCUUUGUUUUGGUUGUUGAUUUUUCAUUUUUGAGCAUUCUUUGGAGUUUUGGUCGCUUACUUUUUUUUGUUGUUUUCUUUUUUUGUUUUGUUGCAUACAUUAUCGAACACUGGCUUUGCA